CGCUUUUGGUUCUCGCAAGAGAUUAAAAGGGAAUUCCGUGGAAUCCGGAGACUGUUCCCGCAGCUGUAAGUUUCAAUUAACACGUUGUAAGUGUUGAAGUUGAUCAAUACUGCCACUGUUCUGUUAAAGGAUGGGAAGGCUUUGAGAAAAACGAAACGAGUCAGAAGACCUGCCAUUAGUAAAA
rnacentral:ncRNA from 1 species